rnacentral:rRNA from 1 species
GAAUUACUGGGCGUAAAGCGUGCGCAGGCGGUUUUGUAAGACAGUGGUGAAAUCCCCGGGCUCAACCUGGGAACUGCCAUUGUGACUGCAAGGCUAGAGUGCGGCAGAGGGGGAUGGAAUUCCGCGUGUAGCAGUGAAAUGCGUAGAUAUGCGGAGGAACACCGAUGGCGAAGGCAAUCCCUGGGCCUGCACUGACGCUCAUGCACGAAAGCGUGGGGAGCAAACAGGAUUAGAUACCCUGGUAGUCAAGGGCG